GAUGAACGCUAGCUACAGGCUUAACACAUGCAAGUCGAGGGGCAGCAUGAACAUAGCUUGCUAUGUUUGAUGGCGACCGGCGCACGGGUGCGUAACACGUAUCCAAUCUACCCAUGGCUCGGGGAUAGCCUUUCGAAAGAAAGAUUAAUACCCGAUGGUCUCGGUUUAAGGCAUCUUAGACUGAGUAAAGAUUUAUCGGCGAUGGAUGAGGAUGCGUCUGAUUAGGUAGAUGGCGGGGUAACGGCCCACCAUGCCUACGAUCAGUAGGGGUUCUGAGAGGAAGGUCCCCCACAUUGGAACUGAGACACGGUCCAAACUCCUACGGGAGGCAGCAGUGAGGAAUAUUGGUCAAUGGACGAGAGUCUGAACCAGCCAAGUAGCGUGAAGGAUGACUGCCCUAUGGGUUGUAGACUUCUUUUGUUUGGGAAUAAAGUGCGGGACGUGUCCCGUUUUGUAUGUACCAUUCGAAUAAGCAUCGGCUAAUUCCGUGCCAGCCGCCGCAGUAACAC
rnacentral:rRNA from 1 species